GAUGAACGCUGGCGGCGUGCCUAAUACAAGCAAGUCGAGCGGACAGACGAGGAGCUUGCUCCUCUGACGUUAGCGGCGGACGGGUGAGUAACACGUGGAUAACCUACCUAUAAGACUGGGAUAACUUCGGGAAACCGGAGCUAAUACCGGAUAAUAUAUUGAACCGCAUGGUUCAAUAGUGAAAGACGGUUUUGCUGUCACUUAUAGAUGGAUCCGCGCCGCAUUAGCUAGUUGGUAAGGUAACGGCUUACCAAGGCAACGAUGCGUAGCCGACCUGAGAGGGUGAUCGGCCACACUGGAACUGAGACACGGUCCAGACUCCUACGGGAGGCAGCAGUAGGGAAUCUUCCGCAAUGGGCGAAAGCCUGACGGAGCAACGCCGCGUGAGUGAUGAAGGUCUUCGGAUCGUAAAACUCUGUUAUUAGGGAAGAACAAAUGUGUAAGUAACUAUGCACGUCUUGACGGUACCUAAUCAGAAAGCCACGGCUAACUACGUG
rnacentral:rRNA from 1 species